CUUUCUCUAGUUGAAGUGUCUCUUCAGUGCUCUCGUCUGCUCUGCCCUGCCCAUUUCCCCACUGCCCUGCCUAUUUUUUGUUGAUGUAGCUGCUAUGUGGUUCCUGGCAAGUCCCUCACCUUCUCUGUACUUCAAUUCCUCCUCUUAAGAAUAACCACCACCACCACAGUAACAGCAAGAGGCCGGAGCCCGACUACCACAGGGACUCAGCCAUUUCUUGUAACACCCUUAUGAGACAGCCUUCCGCAGGGCUUCGUGAGGCUAGAGCUCCGUCUUACAGGUGACACAGGAAGUGACAGGGGCCUUUAAAAGUUCCCAGUCCAGCCCUGUCUGAUGGGUGAUACCCCUCCACAUUGGACCAAGACACGUCCACCUCCUCAGAGGCCUGCCCUGGCCACCCUUCCUAAUAACCUCCCUCCCACCUUACAGUUCUCUUCCCAACACAGCCUAGUUGGAAGGCAUCUGUAUUUUCUUUCACUGUGUCUCCUCUGCCAGGAUGCCAGCUCCAUGAGGGAAGGAGCUCCCUCCCUGGGGCUUAGAAUAGUGCCUGGUACCUAACAGAUCCUCAAUGACUUUAUUUUGAAUGAAUAGCUAAAGGAAUGAUGCUCCUGGCUCUACCCCCUCAAGCCCCAUGUAGAAGGAGGGUAAUUAUUGUACCUGCUUAGGCUACAGCAUGGAAAGCACUGGGCUUUGUGGAAUAAAUUAAAAUCGAGGAAACCCUGGGGAAGGGAGAUGGAGGAGGGGCAGCCCCGACUUGAAGACAGAAAGCAACCCCAUUGAAGCUGGGGGAAGAAAAGAAGGUCCUGGCCCACCCUGACUGUCACCCUUAGCCCAACAUGCCAGGACUGAGUUUUCUCUCUUGAAAGAUGAGCUGGCAAUCAGCCAACUGGAGCUCCUGCUCUACCACCAUCUCUAACUUGCUGUGUGACCUUGACCAGGUCACUUCUCCAGCCCAGGCCUCAGUUUGUCUUUGUCAAAUGCGAAGAGAUGAACUCUAAGACCCCUCCCAGCCCUGCCGCUGGAGCCUCCCAAGGGGCUGCAGAGAGAUAAGGGCAAAGGACGGUGAUGAGUGCCGGGACAGGAACUUUCCCCCAAAGACUUCCAUUCCCAACCUCCUGUCUGGGGCCAAACCACUUUGCAAACGUGUGCACAGGAAGUGUGCACGGCCAAAGUCCAGCCUGGAGGCGUGGGGACCGAACCAAGCGGAACAGAAGCCUCCUUAAAUUGCAGCGUGUAUGUUUUGGAGGCGGAGGCGAAGGCGAAGGGGGAGGAGCUUCCAGGAUGCCCAGGCGCUGUAGGCGGCUUCACUGAGCCCUGCCGAGAGGGGCUGGGAGUUGGGGUGGGGAAGACAGAGGGGUGUGCACUGGAAGAGGGGGAGACACGUGGAGGUGGGGGUGUGGAGGGGAUCGGAAAAGGUCGAAGUCUGGCAGUUAGAGUUAA